GAUGAAGAACGCAGCGAAAUGCGAUAAGUAGUGUGAAUUGCAGAAUUCAGUGAAUCAUCGAAUCUUUGAACGCACAUUGCGCCCCUUGGUAUUCCAUGGGGCAUGCCUGUUCGAGCGUCAUUUGUACCUUCAAGCCUUGCUUGGCGUUGGGUGUUUGUCUCGCCUCUGCGCGCAGACUCGCCUCAAAACAAUUGGCAGCCGGCGUAUUGAUUUCGGAGCGCAGUACAUCUCGCGCUUUGCACUCAGAACGACGACGUCCAAAAGUACAUUUUUACACUCUUGACCUCGGAUCAGGUAGGGAUACCCGCUGAACUUAAGCAUAUCAAUAAGCGGAGGA
rnacentral:misc_RNA from 1 species